GAUGAAGAACGCAGCGAAAUGCGAUACGUAAUGUGAAUUGCAGAAUUCAGUGAAUCAUCGAGUCUUUGAACGCACAUUGCGCCCCCUGGUAUUCCGAAGGGCAUGCCUGUUCGAGCGUCAUUAUCACCCCUCAAGCCCUGGCUUGGUGUUGGACUUUAGUUAUAGCUUUGCCUAUCAACUGGUCUCAAAGAUAGUGACGGCGCCCCAGAGGGAACCGGGUACGAGGAGCUUUUUACUAAGCAUGUAUCUGGGACGACUCUGGGCGACGGUCUUGUUAUACUUUUUACCUAAGUGUUGACCUCGGAUCAGGUAGGAAUACCCGCUGAACUUAAGCAUAUCAAUAAGCGGAGGA
rnacentral:misc_RNA from 1 species